UCCCUAGUGGCUUAGAUGGUAAAGCGUCUGUCUGCAAUGCGGGAGACCCAGGUUCAAUCCCUGGGUUGGAAA
rnacentral:tRNA from 1 species